AUGGUGAAGUCGAAGGGGGAAGACAAGGCCGAUGCGGCAGAGGUAGCAUCCCUCAAGCUGGACGUCGACCAGCUGGAUGAGAAAGUGGAAGCCAUCCACUCUGAAGUGGAGGGGAUUCACACUGAGGUCACCGGGAUCAAGAAUCAGCUGACAAGACUUGAAGAACUGCUGCUCAAGCUUGAUGCGAAAGGAAAGGAGAAGGAGAAGGAACAGGAGCACAGGGAGCUAGAGCGCCAACAGCAACCACUCCCUCCCCAACCUCCACCUCCACCUCUCCAUCAACAGCAACCAACUCCUCCCCAACCUUAA
rnacentral:rRNA from 1 species